rnacentral:rRNA from 1 species
UACGGGGGGGGGCAAGCGUUGUUCGGAAUUACUGGGCGUAAAGGGCUCGUAGGCGGCCAACUAAGUCGGAUGUGAAAUCCCCAGGCUUAACCUGGGAACUGCAUCCGAUACUGGAUGGCUUGAAUUCGGGAGAGGGAUGCAGAAUUCCAGGUGUAGCGGUGAAAUGCGUAGAUAUCUGGAGGAAUACCGGUGGCGAAGGCGGCAUCCUGGACCGAGAUUGACGCUGAUGAGCGAAAAGCUAGGGGAGCAAACGGGG